rnacentral:rRNA from 1 species
GCAUAUCAAUAAGCGGAGGAAAAGAAACCAACAGGGAUUGCCUUAGUAACGGCGAGUGAAGCGGCAACAGCUCAAAUUUGAAAGCUGGCCCUUUUAGGGUCCGCAUUGUAAUUUGUAGAGGAUGAUUCGGCGAGGGCUCCUGCCUAAGUCCCCUGGAACGGGGCGUCAUAGAGGGUGAGAAUCCCGUAUGCGGUAGGUUGCCUUAGCCAUGUGAAUCUCCUUCGACGAGUCGAGUUGUUUGGGAAUGCAGCUCUAAAUGGGAGGUAAAUUUCUUCUAAAGCUAAAUACCGGCCAGAGACCGAUAGCGCACAAGUAGAGUGAUCGAAAGAUGAAAAGCACUUUGGAAAGAGAGUUAAAAAGUACGUGAAAUUGUUGAAAGGGAAGCGCUUGCAACCAGACUUGUCCGCAGUUGCUCAGCCGGUCUCCUGACCGGCGUACUCUUCUGCGGCCAGGCCAGCAUCAGUUCGGGCGGUCGGAUAAAGGCCUCGGGAAUGUAGCUCCUCUCGGGGAGUGUUAUAGCCCGGGGUGGAAUGCGGCCAGCCUGGACUGAGGAACUCGCUUCGGCAAGGAUGCUGGCGUAAUGGUUGUAAGCGGCCCGUCUUGAAACACGGACC